rnacentral:rRNA from 1 species
UACGAAGGGUGCAAGCGUUACUCGGAAUUACUGGGCGUAAAGAGCGCGUAGGCGGUUCGUUAAGUGUAGAGUGAAAUCUCUGGGCUCACCCCAGAAACUGCUCUGCAUACUGGCAGGCUAGAGUGCGGUAGAGGGUAGUGGAAUUCCCGGUGUAGCGGUGAAAUGCGUAGAGAUCGGGAGGAACACCAGUGGCGAAGGCGGCUACCUGGACCAGCACUGACACUGAGGCACGAAAGCGUGGGGAGCAAACAGG